UCCCCGGUAGCUCAGAUGGUAAAGCAUCUGCCUGCAAAGCAGGAGACCUGGGUUCAAUCCCUGGGUCAGGAA
rnacentral:tRNA from 1 species